rnacentral:misc_RNA from 1 species
GGAGGUUACCUUCAUGGAAGAGGCAGUAUAGAUUCUUUCUCACAAUAAUUGCUUCUUCUUUUUUUUACUUUGGUACAUUAGUCUGUCCAUAUAAUGGAAAUGUGGAAUAGUUUCUUGAACCUUGUUUAAGUUAUAUAUUGUAGCCCUUGACAACGAUGACUUGCUUUACCUCAAUAAGCAGAUGGGAGCCGAGGAGAAUGCUGAACGUCUUCUGCUCUCAAAAACGUGCAUUUCAAGCAUUCAAGAUAUCCUUUUUGUUUGUUUCUUCUUUGAUGCCACUGCAUAAUAAUAUUGAAUGGUGACAAGAAUUUUAAAUUGAUGUCUGUUGAAUCUCAUUUACACAUAGAGU